UACGGAGGGGGCUAGUGUUGUUCGGAAUUACUGGGCGUAAAGGGCGCGCAGGCGGCUUGGCAAGUCGAGUGUGAAAUCCCUUGGCUUAACUAAGGAAUGGCGCUCGAAACUACCUCGCUAGAGGACGGGAGAGGGAAGUGGAACUCUCGGUGUAGGGGUGAAAUCUGUAGAUAUCGAGAGGAACACCGGUGGCGAAGGCGGCUUCCUGGCCCGUAACUGACGCUGAUGCGCGAAAGCUAGGGGAGCAAACGGG
rnacentral:rRNA from 1 species